rnacentral:rRNA from 1 species
CGCGGCCUAUCAGCUUGUUGGUGAGGUAAUGGCUCACCAAGGCUUCGACGGGUAGCCGGCCUGAGAGGGCGACCGGCCACACUGGGACUGAGAUACGGCCCAGACUCCUACGGGAGGCAGCAGUGGGGAAUAUUGCACAAUGGGCGCAAGCCUAAUGCAGCAACGCCGCGUGCGGGAUGACGGCCUUCGGGUUGUAAACCGCUUUCAGUAGGGACGAAGCUAACGUGACGGUACCUACAGAAGAAGGACCGGCUAACUACGUGCCAGCAGCCGCGGUGAUACGUAGGGUCCGAGCGUUGUCCGGAAUUAUUGGGCGUAAAGGGCUUGUAGGCGGUCCGUCGCGUCAGGAGUGAAAACUCGGGGCUUAACCCCGAGCCUGCUUUUGAUACGGGCGGACUAGAGGGAUGCAGGGGAGAACGGAAUUCCUGGUGGAGCGGUGGAAUGCGCAGAUAUCAGGAGGAACACCGGUGGCGAAGGCGGUUCUCUGGGCAUCACCUGACGCUGAGAAGCGAAAGCGUGGGGAGCAAACAGGCUUAGAUACCCUGGUAGUCCACGCCGUAAACGGUGGGCACUAGGUGUGGGGGACAUUCCACGUUCUCCGUGCCGAAGCUAACGCAUUAAGUGCCCCGCCUGGGGAGUACGG